AACGAACGCUGGCGGCAGGCUUAACACAUGCAAGUCGAGCGCCCCGCAAGGGGUGCGGCAGACGGGUGAGUAACGCGUGGGAACUUACCUUUUGGUUCGGAACAACUCCGGGAGACUGGAGCUAAUACCGGAUAAGCCCUAACGGGGAAAGAUUUAUCGCCGAAAGAUCGGCCCGCGUCUGAUUAGCUAGUUGGGGAGGUAACGGCUCACCAAGGCGACGAUCAGUAGCUGGUCUGAGAGGAUGAUCAGCCACACUGGGACUGAGACACGGCCCAGACUCCUACGGGAGGCAGCAGUGGGGAAUAUUGGACAAUGGGCGCAAGCCUGAUCCAGCCAUGCCGCGUGAGUGAUGAAGGCCUUAGGGUUGUAAAGCUCUUUUGUACGGGAAGAUAAUGACUGUACCGGAAGAAUAAGCCCCGGCUAACUUCGUG
rnacentral:rRNA from 1 species